rnacentral:rRNA from 1 species
ACUCCUACGGGAGGCAGCAGUGGGGAAUAUUGCACAAUGGGCGCAAGCCUGAUGCAGCCAUGCCGCGUGUAUGAAGAAGGCCUUCGGGUUGUAAAGUACUUUCAGCAGUGAGGAAGGUGGUAGUGUUAAUAGCACUAUCAUUUGACGUUAGCUGCAGAAGAAGCACCGGCUAACUCCGUGCCAGCAGCCGCGGUAAUACGGAGGGUGCGAGCGUUAAUCGGAAUUACUGGGCGUAAAGCGCAUGCAGGUGGUUUGUUAAGUCAGAUGUGAAAGCCCGGGGCUCAACCUCGGAAUUGCAUUUGAAACUGGCAGACUAGAGUACUGUAGAGGGGGGUAGAAUUUCAGGUGUAGCGGUGAAAUGCGUAGAGAUCUGAAGGAAUACCGGUGCGAAGGCGGCCCCUGGACAGAUACUGACACUCAGAUGCGAAAGCGUGGGGAGCAAACAGGAUUAGAUACCCUGGUAGGAUAGCG